GAUGAAGAACGUAGCGAAAUGCGAUAACUAGUGUGAAUUGCAGAAUUCAGUGAAUCAUCGAAUCUUUGAACGCACAUUGCGCCCCCUGGUAUUCCGGGGGGCAUGCCUGUCCGAGCGUCAUUACAACCCUCAAGCUCAGCUUGGUGUUGGGCCCCGCCGCCCCGGCGGGCCCUAAAGUCAGUGGCGGUGCCGUCCGGCUCCGAGCGUAGUAAUUCUUCUCGCUCUGGAGGUCCGGUCGUGUGCUCGCCAGCAACCCCCAAUUUUUUUCAGGUUGACCUCGGAUCAGGUAGGGAUACCCGCUGAACUUAAGCAUAUCAAUAAGCGGAGGA
rnacentral:misc_RNA from 1 species